rnacentral:rRNA from 1 species
UAUUGGUUUGGGGUUAAAUUUUAUAAAAAAUUAAUAAGUUUUGUUUCUUAGUAUGAUGGAGAAUUUUGUUUAGAGAUUAUAGUUAAUAAGUACAGUGAUGGAAUUAUUUAAUAUUUUAUUAAAGUAGUGUUGAAUUUUCGUACCUUUUGUAUCAGGGGUCUACUAUAUAGUUGCGUUAUUUGUAAAUUCCCGAAACAGAGAGAGCUAAAUUUUAUUGCUUUUCUACGUUAUAAAGUAGUUUGAAAAAGUUUUUAGUGGUGAUAUGUUAGUCGGUCUUUGUAUAUCUGGUUCUUUACGAAAUGAGUUUAAUUUUGUACCAAGUUUAACUGUAAUUUGGUAAUAAAGGUAGGAGGAAUGAGCUUCUUAUCUGUUGUUUUUGUUAAGUACUUUUAUUGUAAGUCAUUAGAAGUGGGCUUAAAGUCAGCCAUCUUGGUAUAACGUUAAAGUAAUAAUGAUUUGUAUUUAUAUUUUUAAAGUAUCUUGCUGUUUUUAGUAAAGAAUUUCGUUUAUUGUUUAAGCGAAAGAUAGAAUGUUUAUAUAAGUAAAAUUAGAGUUUUUUUUUAAUCUUAAAUAAAAUAAAGUUUUUAAGUAUUAGAAGGCGUUUAGAAGGAACUCGGCAAAUAUUAUCUCCGCCUGUUUAUCAAAAACAUGUCUGUGUGUAUAAGUUAUAAAGUCUAGCCUGCCCACUGAUUGAUUUAAAGGGCCGCGGUAAUUUGACCGUGCGAAGGUAGCAUAGUCAGUAGUCUUUUAAUUGAAGGCUUGAAUGAAAGGUUGGACGAGGGAUGAGCUGUCUCCUUUAUGUAGUUUGAAUUUAACUUUUGAGUGAAAAGGCUCAAAUUAUUUAGUGGGACGAUAAGACCCUAUAAAACUUUAUAUAAGUUUAAUUUGGCUUACAAUUUGAGUGAAAAGUAGCUUUAUUAGGCUUAUAUUUCGUUGGGGAGAUGUAGAUAUAAUGUGUAACUGUCUAUUUAAUUUAAUAAUUAUAAUUAGUGUGUGAUCCUUCUUUGUGGAUUAAAAGUAUAAGUUACUUUAGGGAUAACAGCGUGAUUUUCUUUGAGAGUUCUUAUCGACAAGAGUAGUUGCGACCUCGAUGUUGAAUUAAAAUUUCAGUUAGGUGUAGCCGUCUAGCUGGUAGGUCUGUUCGACCUUUAAAAUUUUACAUGAUUUGAGUUCAAACCGGUGUGAGCCAGGUUGGUUUCUAUCUUUUAUUAAUUUGAAAAUGGCUUUAGUACGAAAGGAUUGAGCUUUUGAGAUAGUCUUAUUUUAAGAUAAACUUUAAUGG